rnacentral:rRNA from 1 species
AUUGAACGCUGGCGGCAGGCCUAACACAUGCAAGUCGAACGGUAACAGGAAACAGCUUGCUGUUUCGCUGACGAGUGGCGGACGGGUGAGUAAUGUCUGGGAAACUGCCUGAUGGAGGGGGAUAACUACUGGAAACGGUAGCUAAUACCGCAUAACGUCGCAAGACCAAAGAGGGGGACCUUCGGGCCUCUUGCCAUCGGAUGUGCCCAGAUGGGAUUAGCUAGUAGGUGGGGUAACGGCUCACCUAGGCGACGAUCCCUAGCUGGUCUGAGAGGAUGACCGCCAAAAUGGGAAGUGAGACCCGUCCAAGACUCCAAGGGGGGGAGGCAGGGGGAAAUUUGGCACAAGGGGGGAAAGCCUAAUGCAGCCUUGCCGGGGGUAUGAAGAAGGCCUUGGGGUUUUAAAAUUCUUCCGGGGGGGGGAAAGGGAAAAAAUUAAAUACCUUUUCUCAUUGACGUUACCCGAAAAAGAAGCCCCGGCUAACCCCGUG